AUGGGCUAAUACUAAAAAACAAUGGG
rnacentral:piRNA from 1 species